ensembl:ncRNA T28H10.5 ncRNA
AAAAAGAUAAAAAACAUGGGAAACAUCAUAUAAAAUGUGUAAAUGAGUUGGGUCCAGUCGGCAAUUGAAUAUGAAGAAUAUUUGGGAUUCAUGGCCACGCCCUUUUUCAGUCAGAGAGCGGAGUAUUCCGAAUCCAAUAAAAA